UACGGAGGGUGCGAGCGUUGUCCGGAAUCAUUGGGCGUAAAGGGCGCGUAGGUGGCUUCUUAAGCGUGCGGUGAAAGCCUGGGGCUCAACCCCGGGUCUGCCGUGCGAACUGGGGGGCUGGAGCACUGUAGAGGCAGGCGGAAUUCCGGGUGUAGCGGUGGAAUGCGUAGAGAUCCGGAAGAACACCGGUGGCGAAGGCGGCCUGCUGGGCAGUUGCUGACACUGAGGCGCGACAGCGUGGGGAGCAAACAGG
rnacentral:rRNA from 1 species